UUUUUUUAUUUUAUUUUUGUUAAAAGUUUUUCUUUGUUUAAGAUUUUUUUUCUGAUUUAAAAGUAAAAAAAAACAUAUGGGGGGAGGGAGUACGCCCAGCCGAGCUGGCCCAAGGCCCACCUCCCUCCAACCCUAGACCCCUCGAUCCCUCUCUGUUCUCCCCCGAGCGCCGUCGUGUGCCUCCCCCAAGCCCCCGAUCCCCUCAUCUCGUCCUCCCCUUCUCCCUCCUCGAUCUCCCCAUGCCCCAGGCCGAGCAGCCCCGCCGCCAGUAGCUCCC
rnacentral:lncRNA from 1 species